rnacentral:rRNA from 1 species
GCCCUUAGAGUUUGAUCCUGGCUCAGGAUGAACGCUGGCGGCGUGCCUAAUACAUGCAAGUCGAACGAAUCUCUUCGGAGAUGAGUGGCGAACGGGUGAGUAAUACAUAGGUAACCUGCCCCUGUGCGGGGGAUAACAGGAGGAAACUCCUGCUAAUACCGCAUAGCCAUGAGCACCGCAUGGAGCUCAUGCCAAAUAUCCUUUCGGGGAUAGCGCAGGGAUGGACCUAUGGCGCAUUAGCUUGUUGGCGGGGCAACGGCCCACCAAGGCAACGAUGCGUAGCCGGCCUGAGAGGGCGGACGGCCACAUUGGGACUGAGACACGGCCCAGACUCCUACGGGAGGCAGCAGUAGGGAAUUUUCGGCAAUGGGGGAAACCCUGACCGAGCAACGCCGCGUGAGCGAAGAAGGCCUUCGGGUCGUAAAGCUCUGUUGUAAAGGAAGAACGGCGCAUACAGGAAAUGGUAUGCGAGUGACGGUACUUUACCAGAAAGCCACGGCUAACUACGUGCCAGCAGCCGCGGUAAUACGUAGGUGGCGAGCGUUAUCCGGAAUCAUUGGGCGUAAAGAGGGAGCAGGCGGCCGCAAGGGUCUGUGGUGAAAGACCGAAGCUAAACUUCGGUAAGCCAUGGAAACCGGGCGGCUAGAGUGCGGAAGAGGAUCGUGGAAUUCCAUGUGUAGCGGUGAAAUGCGUAGAUAUAUGGAGGAACACCAGUGGCGAAGGCGACGGUCUGGGCCGCAACUGACGCUCAUUCCCGAAAGCGUGGGGAGCAAAUAGGAUUAGAUACCCUAGUAGUCCACGCCGUAAACGAUGGUCACUAAGUGUCGGGGGUCAAACCCCGGUGCUGCAGUCAACGCAAUAAGUGACCCGCCUGAGUAGUACGUUCGCAAGAAUGAAACUCAAAGGAAUUGACG